rnacentral:lncRNA from 12 species
AUAGCUUUCAGUAGUUGAUGCAGUUCUGCGGUCACUUGAAAGAAAACAUUUAAUAAACCUUCAUUUAAACCUCCAGCAGGGGGAGCUAAAUUACCGUCUGUGUUAAUGAUCCGACCUUCUUUUUAUCAAGCGGCUCCUAAGAAAUUAAGCUAUUUUUUGUUUUCAGUAUCAUUAUGUUCACAUAUAUCACGAUGGUUAGAUGUUUGUAUCUCUUGUUAACAUGAUUCAAGACCCAUAUAAAAAGUGUUUUUAGCCCAUGUCUCGGUCAAGGGUGUAUGAACAGGAUUGAUUUAUUUGUUUUAUUUGCCUUUAAUUAUAAAGGCAAUUGGAAGAAGCUGUAAAAGGAGCACCACCCGAAAUAAAAGACUUUUACAGUUUGUUAGUUGAGAAAUAAAACACAAAGCCACGAGAAUUUGUCUACUCUCAUGAUUUUAUAUGAGAUAAUAUAAAUGAGAUAAUGAUAAUAAAUGCAUCACAUUUAUUUUUCACAUUCCUAAGUAAAGCCUGGUACUGUGCUGGUGCUGUGCACAUACUAAAACAUUUCUGUUACAGCAAGAUGGGAAUCGGGAAUCGUUGUGGAUAGCUAAAUUAUGAAAGUUGCAUUAUUAUUUAUUUUACUUUAAUGCACAAUCAAGAAUAGUGUUUGUUAGAGAAUAUUAGAAUUUUUGAGAAUGUUUGAAUAUUUGUCAAGUUUACUGUGAUUUGUUUGCCCAUCCUUGGAAUAAUAACCCUUAUAAGAUCGCAGUUUGUCCGGAGCUGGAUGUUUUGGGUAGAUCAUAAUAAUAUACACAGGGGAAACUAAUGGUCCGUGACGUGACAGAACGUACAGUCAGUCAAUCAUAUCGAGCUCCAGCGGCAGACAGUCAGUGCGCGAGAGAUAAAAAGAGGUUAAAUCUGCUGAAGAAAAAGACGAGGUCACACAUCUGGACGAAGCCGCUUACCUGCUCACAGAAUUCGGUGCAGGAAUACUGCGGUUCAACUUUGAUACACCAUGGAGAAGAGGUGAUCCUGUCCUUCUGCAGCUAAAGACAUAUAAUCAAAGGUAUAGUGGUAAAUAUUUUCCAAAAUUAUUUUUUGUUUAUUGCUGCAGCCGUAUUAUUGCAUAGUAGUAGUUAAUAAUCAGAUAUGAGAGCUGUCUCUG